rnacentral:rRNA from 1 species
GUAGGGAAUAUUGGGCAAUGGACGCAAGUCUGACCCAGCCAUGCCGCGUGCAGGAUGAAGGCGCUCAGCGUUGUAAACUGCUUUUAUCAGGGAAGAAAAGUGGUCCUGCGGGAUUAUGUGACGGUACCUGAGGAAUAAGCACCGGCUAACUCCGUGCCAGCAGCCGCGGUAAUACGGAGGGUGCAAGCGUUGUCCGGAUUUAUUGGGUUUAAAGGGUGCGUAGGUGGUUUACUAAGUCUGGUUUGAAAGCUGGUCGCUUAACGAUCAGAUGUGGCUGGAAACUGGUGAACUUGAAUGCGUUGGCGGUAGCCGGAAUGGGUCAUGUAGCGGUGAAAUGCAUAGAUAUGACCCGGAACACCGAUUGCGAAGGCAGGCUACUACGACGUGAUUGACACUGAGGCACGAGAGCAUGGGUAGCGAACAGG